GACAGUAGACAAUGUUGUUGUUUAUUUAAAAUGUUUACUCCAAGAAAUAUAUAUAUAAAAAAAAUAAUAAGACAAUUACAGCACUAAACCAGGCACCUUCGACCAAAUCACAACCUCCUCUUUGAUUCCCCUUCACGCUAAGCCUCUUUCAAAUUCUUUUUCCUGAGCUGGAAGACCAGUCAGAUGCCCGCAGGGUCAGCGCCAAGCACAUUCCCAACCGGGCAACUGUGUACCUUUCUCUAGGAGUGCCUGGGCUGCAUUCCAGGAAAGAGACCUGUCCAGGGAAACGGAUCAGGCUGUCGCAUGGAAGC
ensembl:lncRNA RCC2-AS1 RCC2 antisense RNA 1